rnacentral:rRNA from 1 species
UACGUAGGGUGCAAGCGUUAAUCGGAAUUACUGGGCGUAAAGCGUGCGCAGGCGGCUUUUGCAAGACAGAUGUGAAAUCCCCCGGGCUUAACCUGGGAACUGCAUUUGUGACUGCAUGGCUAGAGUGCGGCAGAGGGGGAUGGAAUUCCGCGUGUAGCAGUGAAAUGCGUAGAUAUGCGGAGGAACACCGAUGGCGAAGGCAAUCCCCUGGGCCUGCACUGGACGCUCAUGCACGAAAGCGUGGGGAGCAAACAGGA